UACGGAGGGUGUAAGCAUUAAUCGGAAUUAUUGGGCGUAAAGGGCGCGUAGGCGGAUUUGUAAGUCAGAUGUGAAAUUCCGGAGCUCAACUUCGGAGCUGCAUUUGAAACUGUGAAUCUAGAGGGAUGGCGGAGAAAAUGGAAUUCCACGUGUAGCGGUGAAAUGCGUAGAUAUGUGGAGGAACACCGAUGGCGAAGGCAGCCCCCUGGGUCAAAACUGACGCUCAUGCACGAAAGCGUGGGGAGCAAACAGG
rnacentral:rRNA from 1 species